rnacentral:rRNA from 2 species
AUGGACGCAAGUCUGAUGGAGCAACGCCGCGUGAGUGAAGAAGGCUUUCGGGUCGUAAAACUCUGUUGUUGGAGAAGAAUGGUCGGCAGAGUAACUGUUGUCGGCGUGACGGUAUCCAACCAGAAAGCCACGGCUAACUACGUGCCAGCAGCCGCGGUAAUACGUAGGUGGCAAGCGUUAUCCGGAUUUAUUGGGCGUAAAGCGAGCGCAGGCGGUUUUUUAAGUCUGAUGUGAAAGCCCUCGGCUUAACCGAGGAAGUGCAUCGGAAACUGGGAAACUUGAGUGCAGAAGAGGACAGUGGAACUCCAUGUGUAGCGGUGAAAUGCGUAGAUAUAUGGAAGAACACCAGUGGCGAAGGCGGCUGUCUGGUCUGUAACUGACGCUGAGGCUCGAAAGCAUGGGUAGCGAACAGGAUUAGAUACCCUGGUAGUCCAUGCCGUAAACGAUGAAUGCUAGGUGUUGGAGGGUUUCCGCCCUUCAGUGCCGCAGCUAACGCAUUAAGCAUUCCGCCUGGGGAGUACGACCGCAAGGUUGAAACUCAAAGGAAUUGACGGGGGCCCGCACAAGCGGUGGAGCAUGUGGUUUAAUUCGAAGCAACGCGAAGAACCUUACCAGGUCUUGACAUCUUUUGAUCACCUGAGAGAUCAGGUUUCCCCUUCGGGGGCAAAAUGACAGGUGGUGCAUGGUUGUCGUCAGCUCGUGUCGUGAGAUGU